AACGCACCUUGCGCCCUCUGGCUAUUCCAGAGGGCAUGCCUGUUUGAGUAUCAUGAACACCUCAACUCUUGCGGUUUUGCCGUGAUGAGCUUGGACUUUGGGGGUCUUGCUGGCCUGUGGUCAGCUCCUCUCAAAUGAAUCAGCUUGCCAGUGUUUGGUGGCGCCACGGGUGUGAUAACUAUCUACGCUUGCGGCUUCCACCAGGUAACCUUCAGUGAUGGAGGUUCGCUGGAGCUCAUAAACGUCUCUCCUCAGUGAGGACAGCUUCUUGAAUGUUUGAUCUCAAAUCAGGUAGGGCUACCCGCUGAACUUAA
rnacentral:misc_RNA from 1 species